AUACAAUUUAAGACUAAAUAUGUUUUGAUUUCAAAUUAUGCUUUUAUUAUAGAAGUGUGGAAGUCAUACUUUAAAUCAUGAGUCAAUUAGAAAUAUUUUAAGGCAUGACAAGGAUUUUAUUUGCUUGAAUUAGAACUGGAUUCCAUCUGCUCUCCACUGGUCUGUCAGCAACAUGUCCUACAGAACACUGACUCCUGUUAGACAGAACAGCCAAGGAAAAAACUUAAUUGGAUCCAUCAACUUUACUGUGAAGCCACAGAUCAAAUUUCUUCUUUAGAAGAUCUUUGCAGACAUUUUCUGAGUCUUCAGGCAUCACGCUUGGCCUACAGAAAAGACACAGAUAGUUUACAAAGUUCUGCUGCACCAUGGCGUCCAUUAUUUUACUGAUAUCACUUGCAAGAGUGGAUUCAGCAUAGCGGCGCACCAGGAUUUGGUCAUCAUCUGCUGAACUAUUUGUGGCACAUAAUAAUAAUACAAUUUCUGGAUUUCUUUGUUGAGUAAUUAUUUGCAAAGAACAAAGUGAUAGUCUAUCAGAAAACUUUUAUCUUGGAAAAAAGGAAUGUCUCUGUCUUACCUGUCAUCAACUGAUCGUGCACUGACUGCAAGCAUACCACCCAAGCCCAGGAAAAUCAGUGCAAACAGUUGUAUCUUCAUCUUCAUCUAACACAGACUGACAGUCAGAUCAACAUUAGGUAUUUACAUAUACAGAUUAAUGAUAGCAUAUUUUUUAACUCGUGCUUAUUCUGUCAAAAUCAAAUGGUGUAUAUUUUUGCUGAAGGAAGAUGUGUUAAGGCCUACCUUAUGCAGCUAUGGUGCUGUAGCAUUG